UACGAAGGGGGCUAGCGUUGUUCGGAUUUACUGGGCGUAAAGCGCACGUAGGCGGGUCGUUAAGUCGAGGGUGAAAUCCUGGAGCUCAACUCCAGAACUGCCUUCGAUACUGGCGACCUAGAGUCCGGAAGAGGUGAGUGGAACUCCUAGUGUAGAGGUGGAAUUCGUAGAUAUUAGGAAGAACACCAGUGGCGAAGGCGGCUCACUGGUCCGGUACUGACGCUGAGGUGCGAAAGCGUGGGGAGCAAACAGG
rnacentral:rRNA from 1 species